AACGGCGAGUGAAGCGGCAAAAGCUCAAAUUUGAAAUCUGGCCUCCUACGGGGGUCCGAGUUGUAAUUUGUAGAGGAUGCUUCGGGUGUGGCCGCCGUCUAAGUUCCUUGGAACAGGACGUCAGAGAGGGUGAGAAUCCCGUCUUGGGCGGCCGGUCCGCGCCCGUGUGAAGCUCCUUCGACGAGUCGAGUUGUUUGGGAAUGCAGCUCUAAGCGGGUGGUAAAUUUCAUCUAAAGCUAAAUACUGGUCGGAGACCGAUAGCGCACAAGUAGAGUGAUCGAAAGGUUAAAAGCACCUUGAAAAGGGAGUUAAACAGCACGUGAAAUUGUUGAAAGGGAAGSGSUUGCGGCCAGACUCGGGGGCGGGGUUCAGCGGGCGCUCGUCGCCCGUGCACUCCCCGUCUCCCGGGCCAGCAUCAGUUUCGACGGCCGGUCAAAGGCCUCCGGAAUGUGUCGUCUCUCGGGACGUCUUAUAGCCGGGGGUGCAAUGCGGCCCGUCGGGACUGAGGAACGCGCUUCGGCUCGGAUGCUGGCGUAAUGGCCGUAAGCGGCCCGUCUUGAAACACGGACCAAGGAGUCUAACAUCCACGCGAGUGUUCGGGUGUCAAACCCGUGCGCGCAGUGAAAGCGAACGGAGGUGGGAGCCUUAGGGCGCACCAUCGACCGAUCCUGAAGUCUUCGGAUGGAUUUGAGUAGGAGCGUGGCCGUUGGGACCCGAAAGAUGGUGAACUAUGCCUGAAUAGGGUGAAGCCAGAGGAAACUCUGGUGGAGGCUCGCAGCGGUUCUGACGUGCAAAUCGAUCGUCAAAUUU
rnacentral:rRNA from 1 species